CCGAGCAACGCCGCGUGAGUGAAGAAGGUUUUCGGAUCGUAAAGCUCUGUUGUAAGUCAAGAACGGGUGUGAGAGUGGAAAGUUCACACUGUGACGGUAGCUUACCAGAAAGGGACGGCUAACUACGUGCCAGCAGCCGCGGUAAUACGUAGGUCCCGAGCGUUGUCCGGAUUUAUUGGGCGUAAAGCGAGCGCAGGCGGUUUGAUAAGUCUGAAGUUAAAGGCUGUGGCUCAACCAUAGUUCGCUUUGGAAACUGUCAAACUUGAGUGCAGAAGGGGAGAGUGGAAUUCCAUGUGUAGCGGUGAAAUGCGUAGAUAUAUGGAGGAACACCGGUGGCGAAAGCGGCUCUCUGGUCUGUAACUGACGCUGAGGCUCGAAAGCGUGGGGAGCGAACAGGAUUAGAUACCCUGGUAGUCCACGCCGUAAACGAUGAGUGCUAGGUGUUGGAUCCUUUCCGGGAUUCAGUGCCGAAGCUAACGCAUUAAGCACUCCGCCUGGGGAGUACGACCGCAAGGUUGAAACUCAAAGGAAUUGACGGGGGCCCGCACAAGCGGUGGAGCAUGUGGUUUAAUUCGAAGCAACGCGAAGAACCUUACCAGGUCUUGACAUCCCGAUGCUAUUUCUAGAGAUAGAAAGUUACUUCGGUACAUCGGUGACAGGUGGUGCAUGGUUGUCGUCAGCUCGUGUCGUGAGAUGUUGGGUUAAGUCCCGCAACGAGCGCAACCCCUAUUGUUAGUUGCCAUCAUUCAGUUGGGCACUCUAGCGAGACUGCCGGUAAUAAACCGGAGGAAGGUGGGGAUGACGUCAAAUCAUCAUGCCCCUUAUGACCUGGGCUACACACGUGCUACAAUGGUUGGUACAACGAGUUGCGAGUCGGUGACGGCGAGCUAAUCUCUUAAAGCCAAUCUCAGUUCGGAUUGUAGGCUGCAACUCGCCUACAUGAAGUCGGAAUCGCUAGUAAUCGCGGAUCAGCACGCCGCGGUGAAUACGUUCCCGGGCCUUGUACACACCGCCCGUCACACCACGAGAGUUUGUAACACCCGAAGUCGGUGAGGUAACCUUUU
rnacentral:rRNA from 1 species